GGCAAGGCAGAGAUGGGAGAGAAGUCUGCUUGGUGGAGAAAAAAAGCACCCUUGUGAGAGCUGCUUACGGAGAAGAGGAAAAAGAGGACUCGAGAAAGACGGGAGGUGAAAGCGCUGUAAAGGUCACACGGAUUUAUAAGCCACAGGUCUUGCCCCAGGAGACCGCGCCUGGCCCGCAGACGACACCAGAGACGACACCAGGGGGAAAACCUCGCGGAGCGGUAGUGGAAGAAGCGCUGCGGGCUCCCAGAUGGCAACGUUCGUCCCCUGCUGGCCCAAGCCAGGCCCUUCGCUCUGGCUGCUGCAGACAAGUGAAAGGGGACGUCAUUGCGCUGAAGUCCAGCGGAGCGGCUCUGGCAGCCAGACAGGGACUUCGCCGUUGCCUUUAAGCACGAGGAAUUCAUCCCCCGUGCAGCCGGCAAUUCAGCUCAGCAGAGUGAAGACAGCCUUGAGUCUCUGAGGUUAGCUGCCUAUCCAAGAAAUGAAGUAUUAGCGGAGGUAAUGCGUGGCCUGAAAUGAGGCCCCUGCAGUGAGGGUUGUAUAAAUCCUUCCUAAUUGCCAGCGGCGAGGGGCCCUGCGCUGGAUGUGCUGCUGCUUUUCCAAAGGAGGCAGGGAUGGGGUGACAGCAGAUGCUGGAAAUGAAGAUUGCCCCUUGCGUGCCUCCAUGCGACACAACCAGAUGAACUCUUCAUCUUCCUCUUGGGAUUCCCUUGUGCUAAAUAAGGGGCAGAGAAAGCAAGCUGUGCUACCUGUGCCUUAUAUCCCUUAACUAUUAUGUUUCCUGCCUACAAAACACCAUUCUUGAGGAUCACUUAGUCACAGCCUUUCCAUGGGCCUGAAAGCCCUGUCGCCUUCAAUAACUCAGGUCCCACAGAGGCCCUUGGACUUGUUUUUUGAGUAUGAUUGCAUCAUUCUGCUGGAACAGAGACUGGAAAACCCUGGGGCUGAAAUGGACUGAUCUUUGGGCUUGCCCUCUUAUCACUUGCAUUUUAAAGCCAUGGUCAAAGUAAGACAUAAUUAACCCAGCGUAUCUGACCUAGCAGGCAUUUGAAGUGAUGUAACUUCAACUCAGUCCUUUGGCUUCCUUGUUAUCAGUCAAAACAAAUACAUUAUCAAGAGAUACUUCAGGUGUUUUAAAGAUCGGUUUGCACUGUCUAAACCUUCUCAUCUCCAAUGUGGACGGCAGGAUGGGUUAAACACACCUGCGUCAUCUCUAGAUAUGUGGCACGUCACUGGCUAGGGUCUAGAUUUUCAGUGAUGACUCCUCUCUCUGCAUCAGCCAAAGCAAAAUGCUGGUCCCACAGCCCCAAGGCACGGCCACAGCCUAGUUCAAGGGUGGCUCUCUCCGUCCACUGCAAACUUCCACAAACUGUAGCCUUGAUCCUGCAGUAAUAUCCUCGUUGUGAAACAACGACAUCUCUUUCUUGUGGUCUAAGGUUGGGGUUGUUACUUAUUAACAUUACUACAGUUACAUUUCUAUUGGAUGUAACUCAUUAUAAACUCAUUACUGGAUAUGAACCCAUUGAAACUUUGUAUCUGCAGUAAAUUCAGAAGCUGCAAGAUCUCAGGCACAGCUUUCCAACAUACCAGCAGGACCUUUGAAACAGCUAUAAGUCACCCAUUUCCAGAUUUCACACUGGAGUCAACCGGUGGAACAGGACCACAAAAUUCAGUCUCCCCAUGGGCAACGCGCAGACACAGCAGUGACUCUUCCAGAUCCUCAGUGUCCCUCAGUCCUUUGGACGAGGCAGCUCCCCGUAAACUGAAAGACCAGAGAAACUUGAGCCUAGAUGUUGAUCAAGCUGGGCUGCUUUAUGCUUAAAAACGAGUUCUUCACCAUGAUGUUUGCCUGUGAUUGAAAGUGGGAGCGUAGAGAAGCAGAACUUGGGCACCAUGUGGCUUUGCCUUCCCAAUAUUGCCUUCCCCCACAACACAGCCCCGUUGCUGGGGUUUUGCAGAGAUGGAGAGAUGGAAAAGGUUUGUCUCCUGGUUUUUUUUUUUUUUUUCCCAUGGCAGUGGGCAGUGAUAGGCAGCAAUUGCAUGCUGAAAAAAGACAGUGAUUAUUUUCGUUCUUUCUUAAACAGUAUAUGCUGUCCUCCAGCUAAAGAUGCAGCUCACUUUGUUGCUUCCUGUUGUAAAAAAAUCUAUUUUUACCAUCUGAGGACCAAGCUCUGUCCCAGCUACUCAAGAGCAACGCUGCCACUCUCUACCCGCUAAGAGAAAUUGUGCUGGUGAGCAGAGAAUGGCACUCAAAAAUCUUCUUGUCAAAUUUUGUUCCUGUCCUGCAUGAAACAAAGGAGAGUUCAGAAUAAAUCUCUGGGUCCUUAAAGCA